rnacentral:rRNA from 1 species
CUGGCGGCGUGCCUAAUACAUGCAAGUCGAACGGUCUUUCUAUGGAAGCUUGCUCCACUGAGAAGAUAGUGGCGAACGGGUGAGUAACACGUGGGUAACCUGCCCAUAAGAGGGGGAUAACAUCCGGAAACGGGUGCUAAUACCGCAUAGUUUUCUUGAUCGCAUGAUUGAGAAAGGAAAGACGGCCUUUGUGCUGUCGCUUAUGGAUGGACCCGCGGCGUAUUAGUUAGUUGGUGAGGUAACGGCUCACCAAGACGAUGAUACGUAGCCGACCUGAGAGGGUGAUCGGCCACAUUGGGACUGAGACACGGCCCAAACUCCUACGGGAGGCAGCAGUAGGGAAUCUUCCGCAAUGGACGAAAGUCUGACGGAGCAACGCCGCGUGAGUGAAAGAAGGUUUUCGGAUCGUAAAACUCUGUUGUCAGAGAAGAACAAGUUGGAGAGUAACUGCUCCAGCCUUGACGGUAUCUGACCAGAAAGCCACGGCUAACUACGUGCCAGCCGCCGC